ACUUCCGGGACCUCAAUUCCCAGCAGGGAAUGCGCCCUCCAGCUCCGGGCAGCAAAGCCGGGAAGACCCGUGGGGUCAGAGCAGAGAGAACCUACAGGACCGUGGGGUCAGCUACCGCGGGUUUGGAGCUGGCUUGCAGGCUCUCUCCAGACUCCCCUUCUCUCGCCGUACAAUGGCAACGCUGAGGGGUCGGUGUUGGGGAGAUAAUCUCCACCGGUCACUCUCGAGGCCCUGGGUAAUGUCUAAAUUUCUAGUUCAGCAGCAUCAUUCUGUGGCUUCUGAAUCCAAGGAAAUCACUGAAAACGUCCAGCAGAUGAAGGUGAUGUGACUGGCACUGCUGGAAUCCCUUCCAGACGAGGAAGCUGGUGCAGAGUGACGUGACCUAUCCCACAUCUCACAGGAGAGCCUGGAACGAGCUCAUGCUCUGGCCCGGCAUGGGGGCACCUGGGGAGCCAGGAGGAACUGGCAGAGUCCGGGGAGGAGGCUAGGAUCACAGCCGUCCUGCUGAGAUGGCACAGCCCGAGUGCUGCCGGGGCAUCGAACGGGAAACCUGAGAGCGGGCCCAGCUGCCAAGGGCUUCUUUGGACAAAGGCCACCGGGAAAGGUGCUGUAGGAAGUAUAGCGAGAAGAUGUGAAAGGUAGCUCGGAAGCCUUCUUAAAGGUGAACAUUGUCUUGCAAAUGUUCUCUUAUCUCAGACUCCUGGUCUGGGAAAGGAAGCCAGCAUUCAGAAGGGGAGACUCAGCAUUGCCGCAUCCAUUUCUGCCAGCACCAGGGCUCCUCAGCACAAAGGAGAGAGGCAGCGGAGCACAGAGGAGUGCUCUUUAGCACACAGACAAAAGCCACGGUUUAAUUAAAUCAGCUGCACCCAGAGGCCAGUUUAAGAUUCAGCCCUGCCCUUCUGCCCCUCAACUGAGUUCCAACCUGCCCGUGGUUCUGUGAUCUGGUGAGCUGGAGGGAUAAAGAAAAGAGUCACUCCUUCUGUGACUCAAAGACCCACAGAAUUCAAAGGAGCAUAGAUGGAGUCUCUUCUGAGGGAAAAUUUGAAAAGCUGGCUUGGGGAAGGGAAGGAGGUGGAAGUAGGCAGUUAACUCUUUGGGAACAGGAGAGGCAUCUUGAUAGAGGAGCUGGACAGGGAGCAGGAAGUUGCACUCCCCAGCCCUCCAGCGCACAUCCAUGCUGGGGUUUCUGACACCCUGAAUCAGUGGCGAAGUGGAUGUGUUUUGAACUCAAAGCAUUAAUGAACCCCCAAAAGGAACAUGAUGUACCACAGAAAGAUCUUACAAAAUAAAAACUCCGAGAAGGCCAUUGUAUUUUUCAACAUAUUCCUUAGAGAGAAAAAAAAAGCAUGCUGUCUUUGCUUUAAAUGUGUCAUGGGGACUGACUGUUGUUAUUUAAAUCUGGAUUCUUUCAUCCAUUGUAAGUUUUUUUGAUACCAUACUUUGUAAAAAAAAAUGCAUUUUUUUCCUGGUGAACCUUACCUUUAUUUUAAUCUUUUUGAUUCUGUGUGUGCAGGAUUAGGGCCAUUUUAGGACUAUCAGCACCUGAAAGAACGGUGUUAAAGGCUUGACUCAUCUGAUGUAAUCACACAUCAGCUAACCGUUCCUUGGGCACCUCUGUGUCAGGCUCUGGGCCGAGGGCUAGGGCCGUAGACAGGACAGGCGGCAGGUCCCAGUCUGUAGGGAUUUAUAUAUCUGGUUCCCGGUCUGGGCACGACUGUGCCCGUCUCCCCUCCUCUACCCUCUAACAUCUGACAACGUCUGGAGACAUUUUUGAUCGUCACAGUAGAAGGAUGCUGCAGCUGGGGGUAGAAUCCAGGGACACCACUAACAUCCUACAGUGUACAGGACAGUCGCUGCCACAAAGAACUGUCUAACCCAGAAUGUCAAGGGUGCUGAUCUAAUGGGAGAUGCGUGCACAGAAGGGCAACAGAGUGAGGUGAGAGGUCAGGUAGACAUAUGCUUUAGAGAGCCUGCAACCUUCAAAGGGAAAGUAAUGGUUUUUUUUCCAACCUUGACUCAUUUUGAUUUGUUGUUUCAACUUCUGGGGAAAAAACCCCUCUGAUAACAUUUCCUGAUUUUUGAGAACACCACUGUUAAGAGCAUCUCCAAAUCAUGGCCGCUUCUGCUGGGUCUGGAAAGAUGCAGUCGGCCGGCCGGGCCUGAUGCCAGGACUAGGCCAACUGGAGAAGGUGGCUACGGCCCGAGUGGCUGACGUCCACACUUCUCCGUGUCACCCCUGGUUCCCAGUGUUGGAAAGUUCUCACUGGACCAUUCCUGAGGUCUCAACAAUAACUGUAGAUAUUUAUGUGUAAGACUCUGUUACAUUCUUUUUCUCACCAGUUGGAAGGAUAGAAAAAUCCAUUAGGAGCAGACCUGUCUGUGCAUCAGGGCAGACCAGACCCGCUGUAGUGACCUCAGUUCUGUUGGCAACCACUCUCAUUGUCUAUAGCAUCACUGGCCGCAUCCUACCUCGAUCCCCACGGGUCCCUUACAUGAUCUCUGCACGCCUCCCUCCCCGCUCCCAGGCUGCAGUGCACUUGCGUUUCCAGCAGCUCAGAUCUAUGCAGAAGCUGCCUCUGGGCUACCGUAGACACUGCCUGCAUGCAGAGACUGAGCGGCCUGCUGGCUGUAGGAAAGGCCAGUUCCUUUGCCUCAGGUCACGGCAGCUGUGAGAUGCAGUGUGCACCCCAGAGCUGCCUGCUGGACUGGGCUGAAGCUGCUCUGAGACCGUAACUUUGCUUGGCCUCUUCCCUCUCCCUACUCCCUUAUCAGCCUCCCCUUGGGAGCACUUCCCUAAUCACCUGCACGCAAACCCUCCUCUCAGGGUCUGCUUCUGGGGAAGCCAGCCUAAGGCCCUCUGAGAGUACGUGUGCCGUGCUGUGGUGUGUGUGUGUCCUCACCCUCUCUGUGACGGGUUACAGCGUCGUCAGCUGCUUCACAUGUGUGCUUCCCUAGACCCGGCACAUCCCCACUGUCUUACGUUUUCUUCCAGGGAAGUCAGCUGCGCAUCCAGUCUCGCUUGGUCUGUCCCAAGAGGAAACGCCCCCUUCUCUCUGUCGGGAGGGACAGGUGGGCACUCCCAGGGCCCUGCAGACUCCGCUAUCAGCUCCUCUGUGGCGUUGAUGACCUUCAGGACUUUUGUGGAGAUGUUGCAGAGAGAAACAGCAGAAUACUUCUGUUUGGUCCAAUAACAGGGGGACAGAAGACAAGAACAGCACAUUAACAGUGACACGGAAAUGCUACAUCAUCACAGUGCUCACCGUGAGAUCGAUCCUGUUGUAACACACACAGACGUCAAUGUGCUGAAGGAGUGAGGCACUAAAAAGACCUAUGCGGUCUCAGUGAGCUUAGAGGAGGCCCGGUGUGACUCGGCUUAGCUUCUGUGACUCACAGUAAAUUAUUUCAGGUUCUUAGGGAGGGAGGGGAGCUCACGUGGAGCUCCUAGGUCCUCUGCCUGCUGCCGGUGGUUUCAUGGUCAUCGUAUCGUUUUCUGGAUGAUACUGUCCUUCAGAGCUUCAGUCACAGACUCUGUCCGACUACACUCAUGCUGUGGCCCAGCGGGUAUUGCUGUGGGCUGGGAGUUAGGAGGCCUGGGCUCUAGAUCUGGCUCCAGCUUCAUCUAGCUGUGGGACUUUGGCCAAGCGCCUUCCCGUUUCUGGAACUCAGUUUUGUCAUCUGUAAAAACUGAUGAAAGGGCUGGAAAGAGUUUCUCUGCAGUCUCUUGGUGGCUACUGUGUGUUAGCUCACACACACCCAUUCUCAAGCCCAUUCUCCCUUGUCUUCCUCUGCCACUGAGGCUGAACAGAAACAAUACUCCAUUCCCCAGCCUCCCCUGCAGCUCGGGUCAGUCACGUGACAUCGUUCGACCAGUGAGCCCGAAGGGAAAGUCUGCUUGGGGUUUCUAGCGGGGAUUUUGUUCUCCUAGUUAGGUGAACAGACGCAGUGAUGCUCUCCUGCCCUGCUUCUCCCUGCCUUGACACAGGUGUGCAGUUAGGAAGCCCCCAAGCGUGAGGGUGGUACCAAAAGGCUGAGUCAGAUGGAUCAGAAGCACUGAAAGAGCCUGGACCCUCAAAGCACUCGAUCAGCUGAACCGCUGUGAAGCACCACCUGCUCGGAACUCAACCUUGAUACAUGAAGAAAAUAAUUCCUACUUGUCGGAGCUCCUGUUGGCCGGGUUUUCUGUUAUUUGUGGCUGAACAUAUUCCUAAUGGACACAAGUCACUUCUUGCUUUUAUAUUCAUGCCUCAAAAUUAUAGUUAGUUUAGAUCAGAGCCAAGGUCAUUAACGGAGCAGAGGGGACUUUGGCCACAAAGAAUCAUCUGCAUCUUUGAGUUCAUCUGAACACACAGCAUCGAGGAAUAAGCAGGAGGUCAAUGUUGCUUGGCAGGAAUGGUGUCCGUCUGUAAUUGACUUUACUGAUCCCAUCACAGGGUUUGAGCUGCAAGCUGGAAGCCAAACAUUGCCUGGAGGCGUGCUUUUUUGACAAGAAGGCCUUCUGCGAGAUAAGCACUUCCCAGUUCUCUGCAGACCCCACCACUGAUUCCACCUAUUUUACUGGGGGCCUGUGGUGUGCCGGCUCUGCCGCAGGUGCUGGGAUGAAGCACUGAACGAUGGAUGAGGCCCCUAUCCCCGUGGUGUGCCCUGGGCUCGGCCACUUGACACGGUGGCCCCCGAAGGUAUCUGCAUUUGUCAUUAAGUGAGAGUGAGGAGUCCCGGCCGCUGGUCUGUGGGGAGUACCUCAGCGUCACCUGCCAGGGCCGUGGUCUGGGUACAGACCUGGGCCACUUCACAAGGGAGCCGGCCUCCAGCUGGGGAAGUGACUGAAACAUAAUGACCUCUGGUUGGUCGGUGCCCCAGUCUGGCCCUCCACUGGGAAACACGGACUGGAAUCCCACCUCUAGGGGAUCAAGUGUCUCUUGCCUGUUGCACAGGCGUGUUUCUUGCCUGCUUGGAUGCGAGUGUGGGAGUGGACAGGGAACCUGCUGGAAGUGCAGUAACUGGGAUUUAAUUAGCUCCUGGCCCGGGGCAGGGCACUUAACCUCCUUGAUCCUGAGUUUACUCACUAGCCCAAUAAAGAGAUUAGAAGAUUUGUUA